GCAAAGAUAGCUGAGACUGUCAUUCUGACUAACAUCUCUGAAAGUCAGUCAUAUGGGUUUUGAGCAACAUGAAGAAGAAAGAAAGUUAUAUGGGUUUUGAGCAACAUGAGAGGUGGUUCAACGUAAUGGCAAAUGACAACACUGUUCAGUAAUGACAAACAAAAGGACACUAUUUCAACACUACUGAAAUUUCUUAGGCGGCAGUAGGUACAAACUUUUGUGUUGGAAGAAAAAUGAAGGUAUGUUUAUGUAACCAACAUUGCACCUAUCAGCUGUUUUAUUUAAAUAUAUCCAACAUAAAAAGAGUAAAAGUUUCUUUGUGAUUUUAAUGAAAAUGUUUCACUUUUGUUCUUUGAUUUAUGAGUUAGGAGUGUCCAAGACCUAGAAUCUAUAGGAAAUGACUCACAUCAUGCUCACAACACAGACAGACAGGAGAAAAAAAAUAUUACAACAGUCACUGAUUCACCCUUUGAGUCGCCGCUCGUUUUCAAUCUGCUAUUGCCUUUAUUAAAUACUUCACAACUCCACCUACAAUAAAUGGUUACAAAAAGUUACCUUUAGUCAAAUAUGGACACUUUUCAAUAUACAAAGCCGUCAUUUUGCAGAGAGGCAACCCAAAGAAACAAAAUACAAAAACCGAUGCUUCUGAGCAGUCCUUGUGACAUACCACCUGUUUCAGGGAAAGAGAGAACGAGCUAGAUUCUUCCUGUGAGAGAACAAAAGAAUGACAUGAUAUAUUUUCCAUCAGCUGUUGCACAAGCCAAGUUAAUUUACAAACUAGAUGGGAAGAAUAUGCACUAUACACUAAUGUGUGUGUGUGUAUAUAUAUAUAUAUAUAUAUAUAUAUAUAUAUAUAUAUAUAUAUAUAUAUUUAUUUAUAUUUACAUUCAUAAAAUGGCUCAAUUUGAGAGCCACAUUUCAAAGAAAAAGAGCAGACCGCUUAAGUAUAAAAAAUAAAUUAAAAUGAUCUCAUAUGUGACACAAACACUAACAAUGAGGGGUCUCAGACGAACAAUUUUGUUGAAGGGAUAGUUCACCCAAAAAUGAAAAUUCUCUCAUGAUUUACUCACCCUCCUGGCAUCCCAGAUGUGUGAUGUUUUUUUUUUUUUUUUUUU